UUCUCCCUGGAAAAGGGUGGUAAUGCCGGAUGCUCCAGUUGAUCGCAUGGUCUUCUGGGAAAGCUUUCGCGGUAUGGGAUGGGGUCGCGUCCUAUCAGCUUGACGGCGGGGUAACGGCCCACCGUGGCUUCGACGGGUAGCCGGCCUGAGAGGGCGACCGGCCACAUUGGGACUGAGAUACGGCCCAGACUCCUACGGGAGGCAGCAGUGGGGAAUAUUGCACAAUGGGCGCAAGCCUGAUGCAGCGACGCCGCGUGAGGGAUGGAGGCCUUCGGGUUGUAAACCUCUUUUAUCGGGGAGCAAGCGAGAGUGAGUUUACCCGUUGAAUAAGCACCGGCUAACUACGUGCCAGCAGCCGCGGUAAUACGUAGGGUGCAAGCGUUAUCCGGAAUUAUUGGGCGUAAAGGGCUCGUAGGCGGUUCGUCGCGUCCGGUGUGAAAGUCCAUCGCUUAACGGUGGAUCCGCGCCGGGUACGGGCGGGCUUGAGUGCGGUAGGGGAGACUGGAAUUCCCGGUGUAACGGUGGAAUGUGUAGAUAU
rnacentral:rRNA from 1 species